AUACGAAGGGGGCUAGCGUUGUUCGGAAUUACUGGGCGUAAAGCGCGCGUAGGCGGUCCGAUCAGUUAGGGGAGAAAUCCCAGGGCUUAACCCUGGAACUGCCUCUAAUACUGUCAGUCUUGAGUUCGGGAGAGGUGAGUGGAAUUCCUAGUGUAGAGGUGAAAUUCGUAGAUAUUAGGAAGAACACCAGUGGCGAAGGCGGCUCACUGGCCCGAUACUGACGCUGAGGCGCGAAAGCGUGGGGAGCAAACAGGAUUAGAUACCCUAGUAGUCC
rnacentral:rRNA from 1 species